UCGUGGGUUCAUCUCAUUUAGAUAAAAAGAUCUCACUGGAUUGAAUUUCAUUUUAACUUAUUUUUGCUUGAUAUUGAUUAUGGACAUAGAUCUUCACUGGAACAUCAGUCAGCGGUGCUUGCUAAGCUUCUUCAUCACCAUCAGAUUAAAUUCAUGAAAAAUUUUGGAUAUUUUAUGGCUUCUGCUAAUUUGAAUUGCAUUUAAUUGUUUAGAAAAUACUGAAUAUCGUUAAAUUAUUGCAUACGGAAGGAAACAAGGGACUAAUUGGGUAGAAUCCUUUCUUUUACCCCUCUCUUAUCCCCUAGAAAAUAGAGAUCGAACGGCUAAAAAUUAAAAUAAAAAUGUACUUAUUUAUUCAUUUAUUUUCACAAUUUUGAUCAGCGCUACCAAUACUUUCUAUUCUAGUGCAAUUUUUUGCGUCUGUACGUUACACGUGUCCUUUACAUUUUGCGAAAACCAAACCAACACAUAUUUUACAUGAAAUAUAGCCCACACAGAAGUGCUCGUAUUGACAGAAUCCUCCCGAAUAUCUUCUAUUUUUUAAUUUUUUUUUAAUAAUAACAUAACAAUACUACACAUAUUAAAUUUUUUAUUAAAAUUUUAAUAAUCAAUUACAUAGUAAUUUUUCAACGUAUUAAUUUUUAUAAAAAAAUAAAUUAUUUAAAAAAUAUCAAAUUAUAAAUGUUAAAAUUUUUAUAAAAAAUUUAAUAAUUUUAGAUUUAACCAUAAUAAUACGUGCAGCAAGUUGAUAAGGUUGAGAAUAAUGUUGGAAAGGACAGACCUUCACGUGUCUCUUGAGUACUGGAGGAUAUAAUUAGGGUUGGCAAUGUAUCUGGCUCCGUCUUAUCUCCGUGAUAUUCCCAACUUUAACGGGGUGGGGAUUCCCAAAUUAAUCACGAUGGCGUGGCAGAGAUGAAGCAAUUUUUUAUUUUUUAUUUUUGCCUUAAGUCGGGUUUGAUUUUAGAAUGAGGCCAGCAAUAUAAUACCACUUUGUAUUUUCCGCAUUUACAUAUAUAUAAUAAAAAAUAUUAUUAUUAUUUUUUUUUUUUAAAAAGAAUAUAAAAAUAUUAACUAGGUUUCAUAUAUAUAUUGGUUAAAAAAUUUUAAAAUACAAUUAAAAUAAUUAAGUAGGAAAGCAGAUGAGAGGCUUACCUGACUCUUCCAUACACGAGAAAUGAUAUGAAACAAGGAUAGGGAUGGAAAAUCCUAACAUGAUCUUUUUCCACACCGGUCAAUUUUCCACACCGGCGUCUCUUGACUACUGGAGGAUAUAAUCAGGGCUGGCAAUUUAUCUCGACCCAUCUUAUCUUGUGAUAUCCACGCUUAAUCAGGAUGGCAGGAUAGGGAUGAGAUAAUAAUUUUUGUGGUUUUUUUUUUUUUUUUUUUUUUUUUUUUUUUUUUUGGCCUUAAGUAGGGUUCGAUUUUAGGGUGAGGCCAAGAAUUUAAUCUCCACUUUUAUCCCUCCCUAUUUAUGUACAUAUAAUAAAAAAUAUUAUUAUUAUUUAUUUAUUAUAUUUUUUAUUUGUUUUUAA